AGCGAACGCUGGCGGCAGGCCUAAUACAUGCAAGUCGAGCGCGCCCUUCGGGGUGAGCGGCGGACGGGUGAGUAACGCGUGGGAAUAUGCCCUUCUCUAAGGAAUAGCCUCUGGAAACGGAGAGUAAUACCUUAUACGCCCUUUGGGGGAAAGAUUUAUCGGAGAAGGAUUAGCCCGCGUUAGAUUAGGUAGUUGGUGGGGUAAUGGCCUACCAAGCCUACGAUCUAUAGCUGGUUUGAGAGGAUGAUUAGCCACACUGGGACUGAGACACGGCCCAGACUCCUACGGGAGGCAGCAGUAGGGAAUCUUAGACAAUGGGGGCAACCCUGAUCUAGCCAUGCCGCGUGUGUGAUGAAGGCCCUAGGGUCGUAAAGCACUUUCGCCAGAGAUGAUAAUGACAGUAUCUGGUAAAGAAACCCCGGCUAACUCCGUGCCAGCAGCCGCGGUAAUACGGAGGGGGUUAGCGUUGUUCGGAAUUACUGGGCGUAAAGCGCACGUAGGCGGAUUAGUAAGUUAGAGGUGAAAUCCCAGGGCUCAACCCUGGAACUGCCUUUAAUACUGCUAGUCUUGAGUUCGAGAGAGGUAAGUGGAAUUCCGAGUGUAGAGGUGAAAUUCAUA
rnacentral:rRNA from 1 species